ensembl:lncRNA
UCAGUGCUCAGGGCAGAUUGGAUGUUUGGAUAUAAACAGGGUCAGGGCUCAGGGCAGAUUGGAUGUUUGGAUAUAAACAGGCUCAGGGCAGAUUGGAUGUUUGGAUAUAAACAGGGUCAGGGCUCAGGGCAGAUUGGAUGUUUGGAUAUAAACAGGCUCAGUGCUCAGGGUAGAUUGGAUGUUUGGAUAUAAACGGGGUCAGGGCUCAGGGUAGAUAUUUUGAGGCUUGAUGACCAAUCUUGUUUUCAGGUCCUUCAGUAGUUGUGUGUACCCACUCCAGCAGCUGAUGCAUACCAGCCA